UAAACGGAACCCGAUUUAUAAAAAUGAACGCGUCAGGCGUCCGCGCGAUUUACAGUGUAGUUUACGUAAAUCGUGUCAUGAUUGAUACAUGAUUUCAUUCACGUAUAGAUAUGAUACGAGGUCGAGUUUAGUUGGUUACCUAUCAUAAAGUAAAAAGAGGACAGUAUACGUCUACCAGUAUUAUAUAUCAAUAUCUGUAUAUCGAGCUAACAAUGUCGUCUCAAGAAACAUCAUAUUGUGCAGCGGGGAACAAUGAAUGUUGCAAGACAGAGUCUAAAGAUAAAUCGGCUAACUGUUGUAGUUCUAAAAACAACGUAGAAUCUACAAAAGGGAUAACGUUACGUAAAUGUUCCGGUAAAUGCGAUUGUGGUACGAAAUGUUCCAGUCCUGACUGCAAAUGUGGCUGUGGAUGCCUGUGUAAACUUUAGUAGCGUUUUUUCUGCUGUCUUCCAAAACAUUAUCUCGCAUACACAUGUACAAAAAAGAGACAAACCUUUCCUCACCAUUUUCUGUGUUACUUAGACAGAAUGUAAUGAUUUUGAAGUAUUAAUUGUAGUGUUGAUAAUAAUUAGAAGUUAAACAGAUUUUGUACUU